GGCGAGUGAAGAGGGAAAAGCCCAAAUUUGUAAUCUGGCUCUUUCAGAGUCCGAGUUGUAAUUUUAAGAACUGUUUUCCGUGCUGGACCAUUUCUAAGUCUGUUGAAAAAUAGCAUCAUUGAGGGUGAUAAUCCCGUUCAUGAUAUGGACUGCCAGUGCAAUGUGAUACAGUUUCUAAGAGUCGAGUUGUUUGGGAAUGCAGCUCAAAGUGGGUGGUAAAUUCCAUCUAAGGCUAAAUAUAGGUGAGAGACCGAUAGCAUACAAGUACCGUGAGGGAAAGAUGAAAAGAACUUUGGAAAGAGAGUUAACAGUACGUGAAAUUGUUGUAAGGGAAACAAUUAAAGUUAGCCUUGUGCUUGUUAGUUCAGCUCUUUAACUAGGGUGUAUUCUAACAAUGUCACGGACCAACAUCAGUUUUUGGGUGCUGGAUAAGGGCUCCGGAAAUGUAGCAGUCUCGGCUGUGUUAUAGUCCGGGGUUUGGAUACAGUGCCUGGGACUGAGGAGAUCUGCAGCAAGC
rnacentral:rRNA from 1 species